UGAACAUGAACUGAUCACUGAGACUGCAUUGCGUAUGAAAGACAGUUUUAUUUACUAGCCCGACAGGCUAAUGCAGUAUAGAUUUAUGAUAGCCCAACCUCUAAAAUUGGUAGCCCUGAGCAUUGGGCAAUGGUAAUUGCACACCCCUGCGGGGGGCAGGGCGGGUCACAAUGGGAGAUCAAAGUUUUACAUGGGAAUACAUUGGAAAAAUCUUCUCCAGAACCACUGGGCCAAGAAAGAUGAAACUGAUGUAGAAACAUCUUCAGAGAAGACGAAUGUCACCUUCGUCAGAAGCAGAUUUUUACUGCCAGGCUGGCUUUGACCAAAAAGGUUUUGAGAUCAAAUUUAUAUCAGACUAUAAAAACAUCCAAAUGGCUAGCUCAGAUGUGGAAGUGGAAUCGGACCCUUUUAGUUGGGAAU